AAGAUGCCAAAGCAGAAAAGGAGGCUCCACUGGGGCUUCACUUUUGUUUAGAAGGAAAAUCCACCUCAGAAGAGACCUUGCAGGCUCCUCUGCCAUCCACUUGGCCAGAACCCUGGAAACUGCAUACUCAUACCCACAGCUUCACACCUAAGAUCUAGGGCACAGCUGGAGGUAGCCAUGUUCAGGAUUGUAGUUUUCUCCUCCAGCAUAAGGUGAG
rnacentral:lncRNA from 1 species